rnacentral:ribozyme from 15 species
CGUUUGUUUCUUUGUUUGCUUGUUUGUUUGCUUUUCUUGUUUGCUUUUCUUGUGUGUGUUUUUAAUGGAGCGGAGGAAGGACUUUACGCGAGUACAAAACUAGUAGAGUAGUAGAGUACAGUAUGGGACGGCGUGAAUGAAAAGUAAAGUUUU